AUGAACGCUGGCGGCGUGCCUAAUACAUGCCAGUCGAGCGAACGGACGAGAAGCUUGCUUCUCUGAUGUUAGCGGCGGACGGGUGAGUAACACGUGGAUAACCUACCUAUAAGACUGGGAUAACUUCGGGAAACCGUAGCUAAUACCGGAUAAUAUUUUGAACCGCAUGGUUCCAAAGUGAAAGACGGUCUUGCUGUCACUUAUAGAUGGAUCCGCGCUGCAUUAGCUAGUUGGUAAGGUAACGGCUUACCAAGGCAACGAUGCAUAGCCGACCUGAGAGGGUGAUCGGCCACACUGGAACUGAGACACGGUCCAGACUCCUACGGGAGGCAGCAGUAGGGAAUCUUCCGCAAUGGGCGAAAGCCUGACGGAGCAACGCCGCGUGAGUGAUGAAGGUCUUCGGAUCGUAAAACUCUGUUAUUAGGGAAGAACAUAUGUGUAAGUAACUGUGCACAUCUUGACGGUACCUAAUCAGAAAGCCACGGCUAACUACGUG
rnacentral:rRNA from 1 species